rnacentral:rRNA from 1 species
CCCUUAGAUGUUCUGGGCCGCACGCGCGCUACAAUGAUGAAUUCAACGAGUUUAUAACCUUGGUUGAAAAGCCUGGGUAAUCUUUUGAACUUUCGUCGUGAUGGGGCUAGACCCUUGCAAUUAUUGGUCUCCAACGAGGAAUUCCUAGUAAACGCAAGUCAUCAGCUUGCAUUGAUUACGUCCCUGCCCUUUGUACACACCGCCCGUCGCACCUACCGAUUGAACGUUCCGGUGAGACCUUGGGAUUUGGUCUUUGGUACUUUAUUGUGCCGUUGACCGAAAAACUUGAGCAAACCUUAACGUUUAGAGGAAGGUGAAGUCGUAACA